AGACUAAGCCAUGCAUGUCUAAGUAUAAACGCUUCUAUACUGUGAAACUGCGAAUGGCUCAUUAAAUCAGUUAUAGUUUAUUUGAUGGUUCCUUACUACUUGGAUAACCGUGGUAAUUCUAGAGCUAAUACAUGCACAAAGUCCCGACUGUUCGGAAGGGAUGUAUUUAUUAGAUCCAAAACCAAUGCGAGUCUCUCGGGGCUCGGUUUCUUGGUGAUUCAUGAUAACUGCUCGAACCGUAUGGCCCUUGCGCCGACGGUGCUUCAUUCAAAUUUCUGCCCUAUCAACUUUCGAUGGUACGGUAGUGGCCUACCAUGGUUGCAACGGGUGACGGAGAAUUAGGGUUCGAUUCCGGAGAGGGAGCCUGAGAAACGGCUACCACAUCCAAGGAAGGCAGCAGGCGCGCAAAUUACCCAAUCCCGACUCGGGGAGGUAGUGACAAUAAAUAACAAUGCCGGGCUAUUGUAGUCUGGCAAUUGGAAUGAGUACAAUCUAAAUCCCUUAACGAGGAACAAUUGGAGGGCAAGUCUGGUGCCAGCAGCCGCGGUAAUUCCAGCUCCAAUAGCGUAUAUUAAAGUUGUUGCAGUUAAAAAGCUCGUAGUUGGAUUUCGGGGUGGCCUGGCUGGUCCACCGCAAGGUGAGUACUGGUCAGCCGCCCUUCCUCUCGAAAGCCCCGACUGCUCUUCACUGUAGUGGUCGGGUAGUUCGGGACGUUUACUUUGAAAAAAUUAGAGUGUUCAAGGCAGGCUAUCGCCUGAAUACAUUAGCAUGGAAUAAUGGAAGAGGACCUCGGUCCUAUUUUGUUGGUUUCUAGGGCCGAAGUAAUGAUUAAGAGGGACAGUUGGGGGCAUUCGUAUUUAAUUGUCAGAGGUGAAAUUCUUGGAUUUAUGAAAGACGAACUAGUGCGAAAGCAUUUGCCAAGGAUGUUUUCAUUAAUCAAGAACGAAAGUUAGGGGU
rnacentral:rRNA from 5 species